GAUACUCACGACCGCAUUGAGAGUUUCUCGAACCACUUCGAGCCAGAACUUAUUGAAAAUGCUAGCAGUGAAGGUCUUUCUUCUUGGAUUUACUUUAGUUGCAACUGUUUGUUUUAGUGCAAAAGAAGUAUCAACCUUACCAUAUACACCCGAGCACUUGGUUUACGUAUUUGGAUCCAAGGGCGUGGACAUCAUUGACCCGAGGAGCAAAGAAGUGUUGUACAAGAUCACUGAUGGUAUCUGCACUAAGUCGAACAAUCGCUUUUCCAAG